CCUACGUCCGCGCUGAUCAAUUUUUCGCCGUUUGAGCAAGAUAAAACAAGAAAUGACGAUGCUUAUAUCGAUAUACCGGUCAUUUUAAAAUAUCGAUUGACCACCGAUUUUUCAAAGGUUGCUCAGCUUUUCGCCCCACAAGUUAAUGUACUUCACAGUAGUUGCACUAUUUGGACGCUCCUAGAUACUUUCCCUUGUUAGGUUUUACUUACUUGCUUGGGGUCCUCACCCCCAGAAACAGCAAACAAAUUAUUCUCAAUUGACCACAGUUUCUAAAGAUUUAACAUUAAUAAUAAAAGAUGCGAACGAACA